GAUGAACGCUGGCGGCGUGCCUAAUACAUGCAAGUCGAGCGAACAGACGAGGAGCUUGCUCCUCUGACGUUAGCGGCGGACGGGUGAGUAACACGUGGAUAACCUACCUAUAAGACUGGGAUAACUUCGGGAAACCGGAGCUAAUACCGGAUAAUAUAUUGAACCGCAUGGUUCAAUAGUGAAAGACGGUUUUGCUGUCACUUAUAGAUGGAUCCGCGCCGCAUUAGCUAGUUGGUAAGGUAACGGCUUACCAAGGCAACGGUGCGUAGCCGACCUGAGAGGGUGAUCGGCCACACUGGAACUGAGACACGGUCCAGACUCCUACGGGAGGCAGCAGUAGGGAAUCUUCCGCAAUGGGCGAAAGCUUGACGGAGCAACGCCGCGUGAGUGAUGAAGGUCUUCGGAUCGUAAAACUCUGUUAUUAGGGAAGAACAAAUGUGUAAGUAACUAUGCACGUCUUGACGGUACCUAAUCAGAAAGCCACGGCUAACUACGUG
rnacentral:rRNA from 1 species